UCUACCAGAGAGGGCACAUGUGCCUCAAUUGGCCUAUAGCAUAGCGACUCAUUAUCCUUCCACCGCUGGUGGCGGGCGGUACUCGCUGCUCUGUGAAGCCAGCCUCACACAAUGUCCGCCACUUUAGGUGUUGGGAUGCAAAGGCUUUCGCCAAGGCAUCCGAAACCCACUACACAACUUGGAAUGGGUGGUCCACUGUUUGUAGCACUAGACCCAGGCACAUGCACCACAAUUGACAUCCACACUACCUUAUUGCCCCGCUCGGGUUACAAGCAAUCGCUACUUGCUCAGCGAGUGAGGGGGUUCAAGACUACCUAUUUAAGGUGGUGUUGUACUCUAUGAGCCGGCGGUGUGGUAUUUACCAACUACAAAUAGUGUCAUGCAUGUGACUUGCUAGUUGACAAUGUCUGUUGUCAAGCUAGGUGUGGGCUAUGGAUGAAGCACAUUAGGAUAUAGUAGGCCUAUUUUGUUUUUUGUUGUUUUUGGGCCACUAUGGACUUUAUGUUGAUGUUGUGAAAUUUUUUUCUUGUGUUUCCUCUUCCUACGAUGUGGAAAGUGGGUGCGUCAGAGAAGAAAGAAAGAGUGGCUAGCAUUGAUUUUACGUCAUACCAUUGAGAACACUAAUCAGAAGCAGAAGCAACAAUAUUUCAUACAUAUACAACACUUGUAAUCCAUAUAAACAACAUUCCUUUAAAAUAUAAUAUAAACCACAUGAUUUAUAUCCUGGGUCGGCUAUCUCCACAAAGGGCAAGAAAACGCUCCAAGUUUGUAGUAUAGCACUAAAAGUGUCGAUUCUCACGAUUUCUUCCCGACAUAUACAAACUAGACAGUAAUCACAUAAAAUAAAGAAAUAUGUGUUAACACAAACUUAUAGCAUGUAUUUCAACAUAUAGAUUGUUGAUUAUUAUGGUAGAUUAUAUAAAAUAGGGGUUCCCGAAGAAAUACAUAAAAACAAGAGCAUUAAAAUUUCCUUUUCAGAUCUGGCUAUCUGGUAAAAGGAGUUGGAGUAACUGAGUUUCCAAAUUUGUGACGUAGCUCUAUAGAAGGAAUAUAAAUACGUUGGAAAAAUUCUAUAAGGAAAGGUUUAAUACAAGUAGGGCUAAGAAAAACUCAAUGAGGCUUUGGUCGCAUGGUCACAAAACUUGAGACAAGAAACACGAAGACACCAAGGUAAUUAGUAUGAGAGUUUUCCAAAUUUGGUGUCUUGAUGUAGAAAAAAUAAAUAUAUGACAAAUUUGUUUUUUCGCAAGGCAUGGAUAAAUAGGUGGGGGUGAGCAAUAAAUUUCAUCCUAGAUUUAGAAGGAAUAAAUAUAUCACUAAAUAUGUUUUUUCACAAUGCCAAGUUAAUCAGGUGGGAGCGAGAAACAAUUCUAGCGAGGCUAGGUUGUACUAGCCCAAAACUACAUACAACAGAGGAAAAAUGAAGAAAAUGAUGGUCUACCAAAUAUGGCGCAUGAGCCUUAAGGUGCACCUAGAGGGAAGUAGAAGAAAUAAAUAUAUAAUAGCAUAUAUUUUUCGCAAUGCAUGGUAAAGUGUAGAUGUGCUCUAACUGGGCUUAGAUUGCAGCGACACAUUAUGCAUCUACAAGGCUUGGUUGCACAUGGAAAAAGAUACAGAAAGAAAUGUAGACGCAGGACCGGGAGAAAAACAUUCAAUGAGACGUGAUUGCACAGACAUAGAACUAGAUAUAAGACAAGAGUUAAAGAAAAAUAAAGGAACUAAAUUUUCUUCUGCACACUAAGCAUGAAUGGAGUUGUAGUAUCUGAGAUCAAAAUUUAAUUUAUUCCAAGAUGCAGAACAAAAAUGUGAUACUCGUAAUGGUUACAUAGGAACAAAAGUAGUUAAGAAAAAUAGCAAAAAGAUAGUGGUCUACCAGAGAGGGCACAUGUGCCUCAAUUGGCCUAUAGCAUAGCGACUCAUUAUCCUUCCACCGCUGGUGGCGGGCGGUACUCGCUGCUCUGUGAAGCCAGCCUCACGCAAUGUCCGCCACUUUAGGUGUUGGGAUGCAAAGGCUUUCGCCAAGGCAUCCGAAACCCACUACACAACUUGGAAUGGGUGGUCCACAGUUUGUAGCACUAGACCCAGGCACAUGCACCACAAUUGACAUCCACACUACCUUAUUGCCCCCGCUCGGGUUACAAGCAAUCGCUACUUGCUCAGCGAGUGAGGGGGGGUCAAGACUACCUAUUUAAGGUGGUGUUGUACUCUAUGAGCAGGCGGUCUGGUAUUUACCAACUACAAAUAGUGUCAUGCAUGUGACUUGCUAGUUGACAAUGUCUGUUGUCGAGUUAGAUGUGGGCUAUGGAUGAAGCACAUUAGGAUAUAGUAGGCCUAUUUUGUUUUUUGUUGUUUUUGGGCCACUAUGGACUUUCUGUUGAUGUUGUGAAAUUUUUUCUUGUGUUUCCUCUUCCUACGAUGUGGAAAGUGGGUGCGUCAGAGAAGAAAGAAAGAGUGGCUAGCAUUGAUUUUACGUCAUACCAUUGAGAACACUAAUUAGAAGCAGAAGCAACAAUAUUUCAUACAUAUACAACACUUGUAAUCCAUAUAAACAACUUUCCUUUAAAAUAUAAUAUAAACCACAUGAUUUAUAUCCUGGGUCGGCUAUCUCUACAAAGGGCGAGAAAACGCUCCAAGUUUGUAGUAUAGAACUAAAAGUGUCGAUUCUCAUGAUUUUUCCGACAUAUACAAACUAGACAGUAAUCACAUAAAAUAAAGAAAUAUGUGUUAACACGAACUUAUAGCAUGUAUUUCAACAUACAUAUUGUUGAUUAUUAUGGUAGAUUAUAUAAAAUAGGGGUUCCCGAAGAAAUACAUAAAAACAAGAGCAUUAAAAUUUCCUUUUUAGAUCUGGCUAUCUGGUAAAAGGAGUUGGAGUAACUGAGUUUCCAAAUUUGUGACGUAGCUCUAUAGAAGGAAUAUAAAUACGUUGCAAAAAUUCUACAAGGAAAGGUUAAUACAAGUAGGGCUAAGAAAAACUCAAUUAGGCUUUGGUCGCAUGGUCACAAAACUUGAGACAAGAAACACGAAGACACCAAGGUAAUUAGUAUGAGAGUUUUCGAAAUUUGGUGUCUUGAUGUAGAAAAAAUAAAUAUAUGACAAACUUGUUUUUUCUCAAGGCAUGGAUUGAGAGCACCUAGAGGGGGGGGUGAAUAGGUGAUCCUGUGAAACUUGAAAACUUAAGCCACAAAACUUGGUUAAUCGUUAGCACAAUAAUUGCCAAGUGGCUAAAUAGGAAUCCUCAACAAAAUACAAUAACCAACAAAGAUCAAUCACAGAGAUGACACGGUGGUUAUCCCAUGGUUCGGCCAAGACCAACGCUUGCCUACUCCAUGUUGUGGCGUCCCAACGGACGAGGGUUGCAAUCAACCCCUCUCAAGCGGUCCAAAGACCCACUUGAAUACCACGGUGUUUUGCUUUGCUUAUCUUUAUCCCACUUGCGAGGAAUCUCCACAAAUUGGAGUCUCUCGCCCUUACACUUAAAGUUCACAAAGAAGCACGGAGUAAGGGAGGGAAGCAACACACACAAAUCCACAGCAAAAUGCGCACACACACGGCCAAGAAUCGAGCUCAAAAGACUAUCUCAAAGUUCUCACUAGAACGGAGCUCGAAUCACUGAGAAUGACAAACGAAUGCGCAAAGACUGAGUGUGGAUGAUCAAGAAUGCUCUAAGGUUGCUUGGUUUUUCUCCUCCAUGCGCCUAGGGGUCCCUUUUAUAGCCCCAAGGCGGCUAGGAGCCGUUGAGAACAAAUCUGGAAGGCCAUCCUUGCCUUCUGUCGUCGGGCGCACCGGACAGUCCGGUGCACACCGGACACUGUCCGGUGCCCGAUUUCCUUCCUUAAAUGGCGAAGCCGACCGUUGCAGAUGUGGGAGCCGUUGGCGCACCGGACAUGUCCGGUGCACACCGGACAGUCCGGUGCCCCCUUCCGACCGUUGGCUCGGCCACGUGUCGCGCGCGGAUUCCGUGGCCGACCGUUGGCCCGGCCGACCGUUGGCUCACCGGACAGUCCGGUGCACACCGGACAGUCCGGUGAAUUUUAGGCGUACGUCGCCGGUGAAUUCCCGAGAGCGGCCAGUUCGCUCGAGCCAGCCUGGCGCACCGGACACAGUCCGGUGCACCACCGGACAGUCCGGUGCCCCAGACCGAAACAGCCUCUUGGCUGUACACAGCCAACUCUUCUCUUUCCUUCUUCUUUUUGUUUCUGAUACUUAGACAAGUAUAUUAGUACACAAAACCAAUGUACUAAGACUUAGAAACAUACCUUUGCUCUUGAUUUGCACUUUGUCCAUUCAUGGGCAUAGAUUUACAUUUAAUUACUUGUGUUGGCACUCAAUCACCAAAAUACUUAGAAAUGGCCCAAGGGCACAUUUCCCUUUCAAUCUCCCCCUUUUUGGUGAUUUAUGCCAACACAACAUAAAGCAACUAGAACAAGUGCAAUAUUACUUCAAAUAAAAACUCAAAUUCAUUUUGAUUCAAUUUGGCAUAUAUGGAUCAUCCUUUGCCACCACUUGGUUUGUUUUUGCAAAUCAAACUCAAAAUCCUAUCUCUAAGUCAAAUCCACUUGUAGAGACAUAAAGAGAGGUUUUCCAUAGAAGAUUGAUUCAAGAUUCCAAAAACUCCCCCUUUUUCCCAUAAUCAACACUUCACCCCACAAGAGGCCAACUUUUGAUAAAAGAGACAAUGCAAGAGUAUUGACAAACCAAAAGCUCUAUCCUACUGUUUUCAAAGUUUCUCAAGUGGUAGCUGAUCCAUUUAUUGCUUUGGCCUUUAUUUUCUCCCCCUUUGGCGUCAAGCACCAAAACGGGAUCAAUCUUGGCCCUUUAACCCCAUUGCCUCACCAAAAUCUUCAAUUAAGAGCAAAUAGGCAAUAAGAGUUAAAAGAUGAACUUGGAAAAGUUACUCUUUUCAUCGGAGUGCAGUGGAAGUCUUGCAUGGUCCAAGUCCACCUUUUCCCUUUUAAUUCUCCUUCGAGACUAAAACAAGCAAACUCAAGCAUAUGGUUAGUCUCAAAGGGUCAAGUUGUAACACAUCUCCCCCUAAAACUGUGCAUCACUUUGCAACGGACUUGUGAGGUCCAGGGAGUGUUUGUACAACUUGAGCACCAUACUAAACAACAAAAUGCAAAAAGGAUCAUGAUCAAAAGCAUAAAUACAUGUAUGCUACAAUUCAAUCCAAGUUCCGCGAAUCUACGACAUUUAGCUCACUACGCAGCCUGCAAAAGGUCUUCUCAUCUAGAGGCUUGGUAAAGAUAUCGGCUAGCUGGUUCUCGGUGCUAACAUGAAACACUUCGAUAUCUCCCUUUUGCUGGUGAUCUCUCAAAAAGUGAUGCCGGAUGUCAAUGUGCUUUGUGCGGCUGUGUUCAACAGGAUUUUCCGCCAUGCGGAUAGCACUCUCAUUGUCACAUAGGAGUGGGACUUUGCUCAGAUUGUAGCCAAAGUCCCUGAGGGUUUGCCUCAUCCAAAGUAGUUGCGCGCAACACUGUCCUGCGGCAACAUACUCGGCCUCAGCGGUGGAUAGGGCAACGGAGGUUUGUUUCUUAGAGUUCCACGACACCAGGGACCUUCCUAAGAAUUGGCACGUCCCUGAUGUACUCUUCCUAUCGACCUUACAUCCAGCAUAGUCGGAAUCUGAGUUUCCAACCAAGUCAAAGGUAGACCCCUUUGGAUACCAGAGCCCGAAGCAAGGCGUAGCAACCAAAUAUCUAAGAAUUCGCUUCACCGCCACUAAGUGACACUCCUUAGGAUUGGAUUGAAAUCUAGCACACAUGCAUACGCUAAGCAUAAUAUCCGGUCUACUAGCACAUAAAUAAAGUAAAGACCCUAUCAUUGACCGGUAUGCUUUUUGAUCAACGGACUUACCUCCUUUGUUGAGGUCGGUGUGUCCGUCGGUCCCCAUCGGAGUCUUUGCGGGCUUGGCGUCCUUCAUCCCAAACCGCUUCAGCAGGUCUUGCGUGUACUUUGUUUGGGAGAUGAAGGUGCCGUCCUUGAGUUGCUUCACUUGAAACCCAAGGAAGUAGUUCAACUCGCCCAUCAUCGACAUCUCGAAUUUCUGCAUCAUAACCCUGCUAAACUCUUCACAAGACUUUUGGUUAGUAGAACCAAAUAUUAUGUCAUCGACAUAAAUUUGGCACACAAACAAAUCACCAUCACAUGUCUUAGUAAAAAGAGUUGGAUCGGCUUUCCCAACCUUGAAGGCAUUUGCAAUUAAAAAGUCUUUAAGGCAUUCAUACCAUGCUCUUGGGGCUUGCUUAAGUCCAUAGAGCGCCUUAGAGAGCUUACACACGUGGUCGGGGUACCGUUCAUCCUCGAAGCCAGGGGGUUGCUCUACGUACACCUCCUCCUUGAUUGGCCCGUUGAGGAAAGCGCUCUUCACAUCCAUUUGGAACAACCUGAAAGAAUGGUGAGCGACAUAUGCUAGCAAGAUACGAAUUGAUUCUAGCCUAGCCACAGGAGCAAACGUCUCCUCAAAGUCCAAACCUGCGACUUGGGCAUAACCUUUUGCCACAAGUCGAGCCUUGUUCCUCGUCACCACCCCGUGCUCGUCCUGUUUGUUGCGGAAUACCCACUUGGUUCCCACAACGUUUUGCUUGGGACGAGGCACCAGUGUCCAAACUUCAUUUCGCUUGAAGUUGUUGAGUUCCUCCUGCAUGGCUAACACCCAGUCCGGAUCUAGCAAGGCCUCUUCUACCCUGAAAGGCUCAAUAGAAGAGACAAAGGAGUAAUGCUCACAAAAAUUAACUAAUCGAGAUCGAGUAGUUACUCCCUUGCUAAUAUCACCCAGAAUUUGGUCGACGGGAUGAUCCCUUUGAAUCAUCGCUCGAACUUGGGUUGGAGGUGCCGGUUGUGCUUCUUCCUCCAUCACAUGAUCAUCUUGUGCUCCCCAUUGAUCACACUCCUCUUGAUGAACCUGUUCAUCGUUUUGAGUUGGGGGAUGCAUCAUUGUUGAGGAAGAAGGUUGAUCUUGCUCCAAUUGUUCCUGUGGUCGCACAUCACCAAUCGCCAUGGUGCGCAUAGCGGCCGUUGGAACGUCUUCUUCAUCUAAAUCAUCAAGAUCAACAACUUGCUCUCUUGGAGAGCCAUUAGUCUCAUCAAAUACAACGUCGCUAGAGACUUCAACCAAACCCGAUGAUUUGUUGAAGACUCUAUACGCCUUUGUAUUUGACUCAUAACCUAACAAAAACCCUUCUACAGCUUUGGGAGCAAACUUAGAAUUUCUACCCUUCUUUACUAGAAUGUAGCACUUGCUCCCAAAUACACGAAAGUAAGAUACAUUGGGUUUGUUACCGGUUAGUAGCUCAUACGAAGUCUUCUUGAGGAGGCGAUGAAGGUAGACCCUGUUGAUGGCGUGGCAAGCCAUGUUCACGGCUUCCGACUAGAAACACUCGGGGGUCUUGAAUUCUCCAAGCAUCGUCCUCGCCAUAUCGAUUAGUGUCCUGUUCUUCCUCUCUACCACACCAUUUUGCUGUGGUGUGUAGGGAGCGGAGAACUCGUGCUUGAUCCCUUCCUCCUCAAGGAACUCCUCCACUUGAAGAUUCUUGAAAUCGGACCCGUUGUCGCUCCUUAUCUUCUUCACCUUGAGCUCAAACUCAUUUUGAGCUCUCCUAAGGAAGCGCUUGAGGGUCCCUUGGGUUUCAGACUUAUCCUGCAAAAAGAACACCCAAGUGAAGCGGGAAAAGUCAUCGACAAUAACUAGACCAUACUUACUUCCCCCUAUGCUCAGAUAGGCGACGGGUCCGAAGAGGUCCAUAUGCAGCAGCUCCAGGGGUCUUGAAGUGGUCAUCACAUUCUUGCUGUGAUGCGCUCCUCCCACUUGUUUACCUGCUUGACAAGCUGCACAAGGUCUAUCUUUUUCGAAUUGUACGUUAGUCAAACCUAUCACGUGUUCUCCCUUUAGAAGCUUGUGAAGGUUCUUCAUCCCCACAUGUGCUAAGCGGCGAUGCCACAGCCAGCCCAUGCUAGUCUUAGCAAUUAAGCAUGCAUCUAGACCGGCCUCUUCUUUUGCAAAAUCAACUAAGUAAAGCUUGCCGUCUAAUACACCCUUAAAAGCUAGUGAACCAUCACUUCUUCUAAAGACAGACACAUCUACAUUUGUAAAUAGACAGUUAUAUCCCAUAUUGCAUAAUUGACUAACAGAUAACAAAUUAUAUCCAAGAGACUCUACUAAAAACACAUUAGAGAUAGAGUGCUCAUUAGAAAUUGCAAUUUUACCUAACCCUUUUACCUUGCCUUGAUUCCCAUCACCGAAUAUAAUUGAAUCUUGGGAAUCCUUAUUCUUGACGUAGGAGGUGAACAUCUUCUUCUCCCCCGUCAUAUGGUUUGUGCAUCCGCUGUCGAUAAUCCAGCUUGAACCCCCGGAUGCAUAAACCUGCAAGGCAAAUUUAGGCUUGGGACUUAGGUACCCAACUCUUGUUGGGUCCUACAAGGUUAGUCACAAUUUCCUUAGGGAUCCAAAUGCAAGUUUUAUCACCCUUGCAUUUUGCCCCUAACUUCCUAGCAAUCACCUUUCUAUCCUUUCUACAAAUUGCAAAGGAAGCAUUCAAAGCAUGAUAUAUUGUAGAAGGCUCAUUAACUUUCCUAGGCACAUUAACAACAUUUCUCCUAGGCAUAUUAUGAACAACAUUUCUCCUACCAACGUUCCUAUCAUGCUCAUAGAAAGAACUAGAAGCAACCAUGUCAUGAUAAACAUAUGAAUCAAAAACAUUAUAACUUCUAUUUGCAUUUCUAGUAUGUCUCCUAUCAUGAUACAUAAAAGCAUGGUUCUUUUUAGCACUACCAGCCAUAGGGGCCUUCCCUUUCUCCUUGGCGGAAAUGGGAGCCUUAUGGCUUGUUAAGUUCUUGGCUUCCCUCUUGAAGCCAAGUCCAUCCUUAAUUGAGGGAUGUCUACCAAUCGUAUAGGCAUCCCUUGCAAAUUUUAAUUUAUCAAAUUCGCUUUUGCUAGUCUUAAGUUGGGCAUUAAGACUAGCCACUUCAUCAUUCAAUUUAGAAAUUGAAACUAGGUGUUCACUACAAGCAUCAACAUUAAAAUCUUUACACCUAGUGCAAACCAUAACAUGUUCUACACAAGAGUUAGAUUUACUAGCCACUUCUAGUUUAGCAUUUAAAUCAUUAUUAACACCUUUUAAAGUAGCAAUGGUUUCAUGACAAGAAGAUAAUUCACUAGAAAGCACUUCAUUUCUUUUAACUUCUAAAGCAUAAGAUUUUUGUGCCUCUACAAAUUUGUCAUGCUCUUCAUAUAAAAGAUCCUCUUGUUUUUCUAAGAGUCUAUCCUUUUCAUUCAAGGCAUCAAUCAAUUCAUUAAUCUUUUCUACUUUAGUUCUAUCCAAUCCCUUGAACAAACUAGAGUAAUCUAUUUCUUCAUCACUGGACUCAUCAUCACUAGAAGAAUCAUAAGUGACAUUGUUUUGAUUGCAUACCUUCUUCUCCCUUGCCAUAAGGCAUGUGUGACGCUCGUUGGGGAAGAGGGAUGACUUGUUGAAGGCGGUGGCGGCGAGUCCUUCAUUGUCGGAGUCGGAGGAGAAGCAAUCUGAAUCCCACUCCUUUCCGAUAUGUGCCUCGCCCUUGGCCUUCUUGUAAUGCUUCUUCUUCUCCCUUUUGUUCCCCUUUUCCUGGUCACUUUCAUUAUCGGGACAGUUAGCAAUGAAAUGACCAAUCUUACCGCAUUUGAAGCACGAGCGCUUCUCCUUUGUCUUGGUCUUGCUUGGCUGUCCCUUGCGACCUUUAAGCGCCGUCUUGAAGCGCUUAAUGAUGAGGGCCAUCUCCUCAUUAUUUAGCCCGGCCGCCUCAACUUGCGCCACCUUGCUCGGUAGCGCCUCCUUGCUCCUCGUUGCCUUGAGAGCAAUGGGUUGAGGCUCAUGAAUAGGACCGUUCAACGCGUCGUCCACAUAUCUUGCCUCCUUGAUCAUCAUUCGCCCGCUUACGAACUUCCCCAGAACUUCUUCGGGCGACAUCUUGGUGUACCUAGGAUUUUCACGAAUAUUGUUCACCAAAUGAGGAUCAAGAACGGUAAAGGACCUUAGCAUUAGGCGGACGACGUCGUGAUCCGUCCAUCGCGUGCUUCCGUAGCUCCUUAUUUUGUUGAUAAGGGUCUUGAGCCGGUUGUAUGUUUGAGUUGGCUCCUCGCCCCUUAUCAUUGCGAACCGUCCAAGCUCGCCCUCCACCAACUCCAUCUUGGUGAGUAAGGUGACAUCGUUCCCCUCAUGAGAGAUCUUGAGGGUGUCCCAGAUCUGCUUGGCAUUGUCCAAGCCGCUCACCUUAUGGUACUCGUCCCUGCACAAAGAGGCUAGCAACACAGUAGUAGCUUGUGCAUUUUUAUGAAUCUGUUCAUUAAUAAACAUGGGACUAUCCGUACUAUCAAAGUGCAUUCCACUUUCUACAAUCUCCCAUAUGCUAGGAUGGAGAGAGAACAAGUGACUACGCAUUUUGUGACUCCAAAAUCCGUAGUCCUCUCCAUCAAAAUGAGGAGGUUUACUAAGUGGAAUAGAUAAUAACUGAGCAUUAGUACUUUGAGGAAUACGAGAGUAAUCAAAAGAAAAGUACGAAUUGACCGGUUUCUUUCUCUCGUAUUCGUUGUGGUCGUCGUCCUUUUGGGAGGAAGUAGACUCAUCGCUGUCGUAGUAGACGAUCUCCUUGAUGUGUCUUGUCUUCUUCUUCUUCCCAUCUUUGCGUCUGUGGCCCGAGCCCGAGUCGUUGGACUUGUCAUCCCUUGGCUCGUUGACGAAGGACUCCUUCUCCUUGUCGUUGAUCACGAUUCCCUUCCCUUUAGGAUCCAUCUCUUCGGGCGGUUAGUCCCUUUGUGAAGAGAACGGCUCUGAUACCAAUUGAGAGCACCUAGAGGGGGGGUGAAUAGGUGAUCCUGUGAAACUUGAAAACUUAAGCCACAAAACUUGGUUAAUCGUUAGCACAAUAAUUGCCAAGUGGCUAAAUAGGAAUCCUCAACAAAAUACAAUAACCAACAAAGAUCAAUCACAGAGAUGACACGGUGGUUAUCCCGUGGUUCGGCCAAGACCAACGCUUGCCUACUCCACGUUGUGGCGUCCCAACGGACGAGGGUUGCAAUCAACCCCUCUCAAGCGGUCCAAAGACCCACUUGAAUACCACGGUGUUUUGCUUUGCUUAUCUUUAUCCCACUUGCGAGGAAUCUCCACAAAUUGGAGUCUCUCGCCCUUACACUUAAAGUUCACAAAGAAGCACGGAGUAAGGGAGGGAAGCAACACACACAAAUCCACAGCAAAAUGCGCACACACACGGCCAAGAAUCGAGCUCAAAAGACUAUCUCAAAGUUCUCACUAGAACGGAGCUCGAAUCACUGAGAAUGACAAACGAAUGCGCAAAGACUGAGUGUGGAUGAUCAAGAAUGCUCUAAGGUUGCUUGGUUUUUCUCCUCCAUGCGCCUAGGGGUCCCUUUUAUAGCCCCAAGGCGGCUAGGAGCCGUUGAGAACAAAUCUGGAAGGCCAUCCUUGCCUUCUGUCGUCGGGCGCACCGGACAGUCCGGUGCACACCGGACACUGUCCGGUGCCCGAUUUCCUUCCUUAAAUGGCGAAGCCGACCGUUGCAGAUGUGGGAGCCGUUGGCGCACCGGACAUGUCCGGUGCACACCAGACAGUCCGGUGCCCCCUUCCGACCGUUGGCUCGGCCACGUGUCGCGCGCGGAUUCCGCGGCCGACCGUUGGCCCGGCCGACCGUUGGCUCACCGGACAGUCCGGUGCACACCGGACAGUCCGGUGAAUUUUAGGCGUACGUCGCCGGUGAAUUCCCGAGAGCGGCCAGUUCGCUCGAGCCAGCAUGGCGCACCGGACACUGUCCGAUGCACCACCGGACAGUCCGGUGCCCCAGACCGAAACAGCCUCUUGGCUGUACACAGCCAACUCUUCUCUUUCCUUCUUCUUUCUGUUUCUGAUACUUAGACAAGUAUAUUAGUACACAAAACCAAUGUACUAAGACUUAGAAACAUACCUUUGCUCUUGAUUUGCACUUUGUCCAUUCAUGGGCAUAGAUUUACAUUUAAGCACUUGUGUUGGCACUCAAUCACCAAAAUACUUAGAAAUGGCCCAAGGGCACAUUUCCCUUUCAUGGAUAAAUAAGUGGGGGUGAGCAAUAAAUUUCAUCCUAGAUUUAGAAGGAAUAAAUAUAUCACUAAAUACGUUUUUUUUUACAAUGGCAAGUUAAUCAGGUGGGAGCGAGAAACAAUUCUAGCGAGGCUAGGUUGUACUAGCCCAAAAUUACAUACAACAGAGGAAAAAUGAAGAAAAUGAUGGUCUACCAAAUAUGGCGCAUGAGCCUUAAGGUGCACCUAGAGGGAAGUAGAAGAAUAAAUAUAUAAUAGCAUAUGUUUUUCGCAAUGCAAGGUAAAGUGUAGAUGUGCUCUAACUGGGCUUAGAUUGCAGCGACACAUUAUGCAUCUACAAGGCUUGGUUGCACAUGGAAAAAGAUAGAGAGAGAAAUGUAGACGCAGGACCGGGAGAAAACAUUCAAUGAGACGUGAUUGCACGGACAUAGAACUAGAUAUAAGACAAGAGUUAAAGAAAAAAAGGAACUAAAUUUUCUUGUGCACACUAAGCAUGAAUGGAGUUGUAGUAUCUGAGAUCAAAAUUUAAUUUAUUCCAAGAUGCAGAACAAAAACGUGAUAUUCGUAAUGGUUACAUAGGAACAAAAGUAGAUAAGAAAAAUAGCAAAAAGAUAGUGGUCUACCAGAGAGGGCACAUGUGCCUCAAUUGGCCUAUAGCAUAGUGGCUCAUUAUCCUUCCACCGCUGGUGGCGGGCGGUACUCGCUGCUCUGUGAAGCCAGCCUCACGCAAUGUCCGCCACUUUAGGUGUUGGGAUGCAAAGGCUUUCGCCAAGGCAUCCGAAACCCACUACACAACUUGGAAUGGGUGGUCCACAAUUUGUAGCACUAGACCCAUACACAUGCACCACAAUUGAUAUCCACACUACCUUAUUGCCCCCGCUCGGGUUACAAGCAAUCGCUACU
rnacentral:lncRNA from 1 species